rnacentral:lncRNA from 1 species
UCACAUCAUCCUCGACAUAACAUCCAUCUGAUCGCAUCAACCGACACAACCAUGCCAUCCUGACACAAGAUUCCUCCUUGACUGAAAUCCAAAAGCGUCCUUUAUUAUCUAACAUGGGGCCUACAGCUCCACAAACUUACUCUCACGGCAACUCAGCUCGUCAUCCAGAGAAUUCUCAAGCUAACACUAUUUACUUUGAAAAAUUUACUUAUUUAUUUACUUUAUAAUCAUCACUGAUAAAAACUUUAUUAUCUUGAAAAAUACUUUUACAAAAUCGUAAAAUCUCUAGCCAUUUUUCUUUAUAUAAAAUUCUACAAUAUCGCGCGCCAGGGUGAUGAUGCCCCCUAUCACCAAGGGUUGCAAUGCACAAUGUAUGAUGCAUGUCCUAAAAUGAAUUUAUGCAUGCCUAACAGUGAAAUGCCAUAAUGCAUUCUUACGGAACUGGGCGCAAUAUUGUAUUUUAAAACACUUGUUCUACUUAGAAAAAUAAAUAAUGUUCGCUUAAGUUUCUCUGGAUUCUGAGCGUCCGAAAAUACUGCUGCCACCUUUCUUAAGCUUCUUACAAUCACCAAAACUCAACCAUAGAGCUCUGACAUCUACUCGACUUCCCAGGCACUACUUUCGGCGCUACUCAAUAAGACGAUGCCUGAUGCGAUGACGAGGCAGCUCAUGACAUGACUGCAACCACGCUCUAUACUAAAACAGACUGCGGUGCCCACUAUCGAAACAACAAGACAAACUUGAUCCUAACUCCGCAGUACCAGGAAAAAUCUUAACUUAGGUCGAAGGAAAUCUAAACCUAAGCUCUGAUACCAACUUUGUCACGACCCCACCCGUGGGCCCGUGACCGGCACUAGGGAAUGGGUAGGCUUAAGGCCACCGAAACCCGUAGUAAGCCUGACACUCACUGAUUUAAACAAAUCUCAACUCAAAUUU